rnacentral:sRNA from 1 species
GAUGAUUCGUGACUUUCCCAAUAGAACUUCAAAUCUCUGAAGACGGGGGGUGGGGGGAUGUGCUUGAGUGUUUGUACUCAUGGUCUUAUUCUCGGAGUGACAAAGCUGGAACACAAUACCUCUAUGCAUGAAAAGGUUGUCACUUGUCACAACUAACAGGCUUUCACCUCAUGGAAAUUUUCUUCCCUUGUGUACUUUUCCCCUGGCAGUGGACAUGGCUGCACUCUUCCAAGAAGCAAGCAGCUGUCCCGUCUGCUCAGACUAUCUGGAAAAACCAAUGUCCCUGGAGUGUGGAUGCGCCGUCUGCUUCAAGUGCAUCAAUUCACUGCAGAAGGAGCCCCAUGGGGAGGAUCUACUUUGCUGUUGCUGUUCCAUGGUCUCUCGGAAGAACAAAAUCAGGCGCAAUCGGCAGCUAGAGAGGCUGGCUUCCCACAUCAAGGAACUGGAGCCCAAGCUGAAGAAGAUUCUGCAGAUGAACCCAAGGAUGCGGAAGUUCCAAGUGGAUAUGACCUUGGAUGCCGACACAGCCAACAACUUCCUCCUCAUUUCUGACGACCUCAGGAGCGUCCGAAGUGGGCACAUCAGACAGAAUCGGCAAGACCUUGCCGGGAGAUUUGACCUGUCCGUUUGCAUCCUGGGCUCCCCUCACUUUACCUGUGGCCGCCACUACUGGGAGGUGGACGUGGGAACAAGCACAGAAUGGGACCUGGGAGUCUGCAGAGAAUCUGUUCACCGCAAAGGGAGGAUCCAGCUGACCACAGAGCGUGGAUUCUGGACUGUGAGUUUGAGGGAUGGAAGCCGCCUCUCUGCCAGCACGGUGCCGCUGACUUUCCUCUUCGUAGACCGCAAGUUACAGCGAGUGGGGAUUUUUCUGGAUAUGGGCAUGCAGAACGUUUCCUUUUUUGACGCUGAAGGUGGUUCCCAUGUCUAUACAUUCAGGAGCGUCUCUGCUGAGGAGCCACUGCGCCCAUUUUUGGCUCCUUCAAUUCCACCUAACGGUGAUCAGGGUGUCUUGAGCAUCUGUCCUUUGAUGAACUCAGGCACUACUGAUGCUCCAGUCCAUCCUGGGGAGGCCAAACAAACCCCCACUGCAAAAAAACAAAAAACAGGGUAAGAAAAUUACUUGGGUGGGUAGACUUAGGAACGCUC